rnacentral:lncRNA from 1 species
AAAAAAAAGGGGGGGGGCUUUUAAAAACACCAAAAUACCUUAACAAUCCUACAAUAUCUGUUUACAGAAUGAGAGAGAUAUUUCGUAUUCUAAAACUAAUUUUUCUCACAUGUUUGUUAGAUAUGUUGAAAAUACAGACAAAUUUUUAGUACGUAUAUCCAUCCCCUCUUUUUCAAUUCAUUAGUUCAAGAUACAGCUCUGAAGAAUAUGCAAUAACCUAACAUUGAUAAUUUAGCUA